rnacentral:lncRNA from 1 species
CUUCUUUUGUUCGUCAUCAACUCCAGUAGAGCUGAUAAUACUACGCCAUUUGGUUAUUGCCCUUCAUCUUUUUGCGAUAAUGGACUCAAUAUUUCAUAUCCUUUUUGGAGACUUGACAACUACCACUCCACCUCUCCACAAUACUGUGGUUAUCCAGGAUUUGGGAUCAAUUGCUCUCAAAUCAAUUCAAUUCUGUAAGGGAGUUUAAUGACAGUGGCUACUCCCUUAUCUUACUCUAGAUGGCGACUUGCCAUUGCAAUAUUCGGAGCUUGAUAUGAACCUUAAUUUCUAUUAUCUCUGUCCUAAUUUAUGAGAUACUUUUCAUUUUUGAAAGUCCGGCGGGGUGCCUGUCACUUUCUUCUACUCUAUCUUCCAAAUUCCUCCGUGACCAAGUCAAAUAUAAGAAAUAUAAUACAGUAUUUGGUUGAAUACACAAGUAAACCACAAUUAGUUUGCAAUUCUUCAAACAUCAACUCCUAACAAUGUGUCCAAGUCAAGUAUUCUUCAUCUCUCUACUUCUUCUUCUUUUGUUCGUCAUCAACUCCAGUAGAGCUGAUAAUACUACGCCAUUUGGUUAUUGCCCUUCAUCUUUUUGCGAUAAUGGACUCAAUAUUUCAUAUCCUUUUUGGAGACUUGACAACUACCACUCCACCUCUCCACAAUACUGUGGUUAUCCAGGAUUUGGGAUCAAUUGCUCUCAAUUGAAUUCAAUUCUGUACAUUUCUGAUGACUCUUUCAAUGUUACGAAGAUUGAUUACAAUAACCUCUCCCUUACCCUGGUGGAUAUUGAUGGUGUUGAUCACAGAGGAUGCCCGAGAGUACAUCAUAACCUUACUCUGGAUGACGACUUUCCAUUGGAAUAUUCGAAGCUUGAUUUAUACCUUAAUUUCUACUACAACUGUACCGUUUCCCUUCCAGAUUCUGCUGAUCGGUUAGAUUGCUUAACAUCAAGAGGAAACUAUUCAUAUUUUUAUGUUGGGGAUCAUGAGCCGGAAGAUUUGAAGUGGUAUGGAAUUUGUGAGAAGAAAGUGGUGGUGCCGG